AAUUGAAUCAUGGGGGCAGAGCGUUCCUGUGCUGCGCUUGUGGUAGUGAAUAAGUCUCGCGAGAUCUGAUGGUUAUAAAAGUGAGCGUUCCUCCAUAGAGGCGCUCGCUCGCCUGCCGCUGUGUAAGACGUCUCUUUGCUCUUCUGCCUUAAUUGUGAGGCCUUCUCAGCCGUGUGGAACUGUCAGUGGGCCUCAAAGGCAACAAUACAUCAGUACUGUCUGAAGAACUUCUCAAAUACGUGCUCCUUUCUAGGAUCCAGACACAGGAUAAGGGGGAAAAUUACUGGAACUGUGUCAUCUGGUUGAAGGAAAUCAUAUCCCAUGGUGAAGGCGAACGUGAUGGAAAAGAGAUUCACAGAAAAAUGAAGUUGCUCAAGAAAUUUGAAGAUUAUCGUAAUUUACUUGUUCCAUUUAUACAUUCUUUUGUUGUUCACUUGCAAGAUAAAAAUGCAUGUGUAAGUAAGUGGUCAUUUAUUGGCUAUGUAAUAAAAAAAAGUCUAAGUGAUGAGAAAAAGUUAAUUGGUAGUCCUUUUAUUUUUAAUAAAAGUGAUAAAAU
rnacentral:lncRNA from 13 species